rnacentral:rRNA from 1 species
GACGAACGCUGGCGGCGUGCUUAACACAUGCAAGUCGAGCGAGGCCCUUUCCUUCGGGAAAGGUGCCCUAGCGGCGAACGGGUGAGUAACACGUGGGCAACCUGCCCCUAGCACUGGGAUAACUCCGGGAAACCGGGGCUAAUACCGGAUAUGACCUCUGAGGGCAUCCUCUGGAGGUGGAAAGGAUUCUGGCUAGGGAUGGGCCCGCGGCCUAUCAGCUUGUUGGUGGGGUAACGGCCCACCAAGGCGACGACGGGUAGCCGGCCUGAGAGGGCGACCGGCCACACUGGGACUGAGACACGGCCCAGACUCCUACGGGAGGCAGCAGUGGGGAAUAUUGCACAAUGGGCGAAAGCCUGAUGCAGCGACGCCGCGUGAGGGAUGAC